rnacentral:rRNA from 1 species
UGGGGAAUUUUGGACAAUGGGGGAAACCCGUGAUCCAGCCAUCCCGCGUGUGCGAUGAAGGCCUUCGGGUUGUAAAGCACUUUUGGCAGGAAAGAAACGUCGCGGGUUAAUACCCCGCGAAACUGACGGUACCUGCAGAAUAAGCACCGGCUAACUACGUGCCAGCAGCCGCGGUAAUACGUAGGGUGCAAGCGUUAAUCGGAAUUACUGGGCGUAAAGCGUGCGCAGGCGGUUCGGAAAGAAAGAUGUGAAAUCCCAGAGCUUAACUUUGGAACUGCAUUUUUAACUACCGGGCUAGAGUGUGUCAGAGGGAGGUGGAAUUCCGCGUGUAGCAGUGAAAUGCGUAGAUAUGCGGAGGAACACCGAUGGCGAAGGCAGCCUCCUGGGAUAACACUGACGCUCAUGCACGAAAGCGUGGGGAGCAAACAGGAUUAGAUACCCUGGUAGUCCACGCCCUAAACGAUGUCAACUAGCUGUUGGGGCCUUCGGGCCUUGGUAGCGCAGCUAACGCGUGAAGUUGACCGCCUGGGGAGUACGGUCGCAAGAUUAAAACUCAAAUGAAUUGACGGGGGUCGAUANCUGGUUUUU